rnacentral:rRNA from 1 species
CGGCGGUGGUAACUAUAACCAUCCUAAGGUAGCGAAAUUCCUUGUCGGGUAAGUUCCGACCUGCACGAAUGGCGUAACGACUUCUUCGCUGUCUCGACCAUGAACUCGGUGAAAUUGCAUUACGAGUAAAGAUGCUCGUUUCGCGCAGCAGGACGGAAAGACCCCGGGACCUUUACUAUAGCUUGGUAUUGGUAGCCGGUUGUGUUUGUGUAGGAUAGGUGGGAGACUGUGAAGCCGCUACGCUAGUGGUGGUGGAGUCGUUGUUGAAAUACCACUCUGAUAUAAACGGUUAUCUAACCUUGGUCCGUGAUCCGGAUUGGGGACAGUGCCUGGUGGGUAGUUUAACUGGGGCGGUUGCCUCCUAAAUGGUAACGGAGGCGCUCAAAGGUCUUCUCAGCCUGGUUGGUAAUCAGGUGUUGAGUGUAAGUGUAGAAGAAGGCUUGACUGUGACACUGACGGGUGGAGCAGGUGCGAAAGCAGGAACUAGUGAUCCGGCCGUGGUUCGUGGAAACGCGGUCGCUCAACGGAUAAAAGGUACCCCGGGGAUAACAGGCUGAUCUUGCCCAAGAGUCCAUAUCGACGGCAUGGUUUGGCACCUCGAUGUCGGCUCGUCGCAUCCUGGGGCUGGAGUCGGUCCCAAGGGUUGGGCUGUUCGCCCAUUAAAGCGGUACGCGAGCUGGGUUUAGAACGUCGUGAGACAGUUCGGUCCCUAUCCGCUGCGCGCGUAGGAAACUUGAGAAGGCCUGUCCCUAGUACGAGAGGACCGGGACGGACAAGCCUCUGGUGUGCCAGUUGUACCGCCAGGUGCAUGGCUGGUUAGCUACGCUUGGGAAGGAUAACCGCUGAAAGCAUCUAAGCGGGAAGCCUGCUUCAAGACAAGGUUUCCAACCCCCUCUUGGGGGGAGAGACUCCCAAUAGAUGAUUGGGUUGAUAGGCCAGGCGUGUAAGCAUGGUAACGUGUUUAGCUUACUGGUACUAAUAGUCAACAACUAAAAACA